rnacentral:lncRNA from 1 species
AUUUUUCAAUUGAAAGCUGACAGUAGGGCUUCCCCUAUGCAAUUAACAGAAAGGUCAGUUCCGCUAAGGGGUUCUUGCUUGAUCUAGCAUCUUUAGAUUAUUUAGCUAUUAGCUAUACUCAGCACCUUAGAUUAUUAUAUAUGUUUAUUUUAUGCUCAUCAAUGGGAAAUUACCGAAAAAGUAAUAUGCUUAAACGUCCAUUUUGGUGAACAUCAGAUUGAGAACCCGAACUCAUUCC